AAAGACCGAAUUUUUCGGUUUUCGUGUCCAACGUUUGACCGUUCGUUUUAUAUGAAAUUUUUUUAUAAUUAAUAUUUUCAUUAUUGUUAGAUAAUAAAACAUGACUGAUACUUUAUGCAUGAUUUAUCUUUUUAAAUUUUUUUCAUAAUUUUUUUAAAUAAAACGAACGGUAAAACGUUAGACACGGAAACCCAGGAAUUGAGUUUUU
rfam:Oryza sativa (indica cultivar-group) chromosome 10, whole genome shotgun sequence.